UACGUAGGGGGCAAGCGUUAUCCGGAUUUACUGGGUGUAAAGGGAGCGUAGACGGCUGUGCAAGUCUGAAGUGAAAGCCCGUGGCUCAACCGCGGAACUGCUUUGGAAACUGUAUAGCUUGAGUACUGGAGAGGCAGGCGGAAUUCCUAGUGUAGCGGUGAAAUGCGUAGAUAUCGAGAGGAACACUCGUGGCGAAGGCGGGUUCCUGGACAUUAACUGACGCUGAGGCACGAAGGCCAGGGGAGCGAAAGGG
rnacentral:rRNA from 1 species